ACUACUAAUUUAGCAGGUUGUGGACCCCAAAGAAAAGGAAAUAGCAAUUGUCACGCAUAGUGGAUUCUUGUUCCAUGUGCAGUUGGCAAUGAUUGUCACCCUUUGAUUAAAAAAGAAAUUUCCAAGCAUUUUGCAAAUUGUGAGCUUCGCUCUAUGGUCAUUGUGGACAAAAGCAUGUCAGGAUUAGAUCCCCCGACAAUGAAUUAUCCAGGGAAAAUUCCUCCCGGGCCCGAUGCCCCUAGCGAUGUUGUGGAUGAGAAGAACUGAAGAAAGACAUCCCCAAUUCCUGAUUUGCAGGGAUAAAGAACUUCCAAUUCAUUAGCUUUAGAGGUAUUGCUAUAUUGAACUGAAUGACCCCAACAUGACAAUGGAACAACAUUCCUAAAACACUUGCUCAUAGAACUUGAUAUAACGUAUGUCAUUCUGGAUUUAAAAAAUUCAACAAGUUUGAUAAAAAUAAAAAAUAUUUUUUU